AUUGAACGCUGGCGGCAUGCCUUACACAUGCAAGUCGAACGGCAGCACGGGAGCAAUCCUGGUGGCGAGUGGCGAACGGGUGAGUAAAGUAUCGGAACGUGCCCAGUCGUGGGGGAUAACGUAGCGAAAGUUACGCUAAUACCGCAUACGAUCUAUGGAUGAAAGCGGGGGAUCGCAAGACCUCGCGCGAUUGGAGCGGCCGAUAUCAGAUUAGGUAGUUGGUGGGGUAAAGGCCCACCAAGCCGACGAUCUGUAGCUGGUCUGAGAGGACGACCAGCCGCACUCGGCUUGAGACACGGCUCAGGCUCCUACGGGAGGCAGCAGUGGGGAAUUUUGGAGAUUGGGCGAAAGCCUGAUCCAGCCAUGCCGCGUGCAGGAUGAAGGCCUUCGGGUUGUAAACUGCUUUUGUACGGAACGAAAAGGUUUGGGCUAAUAAGCUGAGCUCAUGACGGUACCGUAAGAAUAAGCACCGGCUAACUACGUGCCAGCCGCCGCUGUAA
rnacentral:rRNA from 1 species